rnacentral:rRNA from 1 species
AGUUCACUUCUUAGUAGCGAAGCUAACGCGUUAAGUUCUCCGCCUGGGGAGUACGGCCGCAAGGUUAAAACUCAAAGAAAUUGACGGGGGCCCGCACAAGCGGUGGAGCAUGUGGUUUAAUUCGAUGCAACGCGAAAAACCUUACCUACCCUUGACAUCCUCGGAACUUGUCAGAGAUGAUUUGGUGCCUUCGGGAACCGAGUGACAGGUGCUGCAUGGCUGUCGUCAGCUCGUGUCGUGAGAUGUUGGGUUAAGUCCCGUAACGAGCGCAACCCUCGUCCUUAGUUGCCAGCGAGUCAAGUCGGGAACUCUAAGGAGACUGCCGGUGAUAAACCGGAGGAAGGUGGGGAUGAUGUCAAGUCAUCAUGGCCCUUACGGGUAGGGCUACACACGUGCUACRAUGGGCAGUACAAAGGGUUGCC